AGUAACGAUAAAGCGGGUGAAAAGCCCGCUCGCCGGAAGACCAAGGGUUCCUGUCCAACGUUAAUCGGGGCAGGGUGAGUCGACCCCUAAGGCGAGGCCGAAAGGCGUAGUCGAUGGGAAACAGGUUAAUAUUCCUGUACUUGGUGUUACUGCGAAGGGGGGACGGAGAAGGCUAUGUUGGCCGGGCGACGGUUGUCCCGGUUUAAGCGUGUAGGCUGGUUUUCCAGGCAAAUCCGGAAAAUCAAGGCUGAGGCGUGAUGACGAGGCACUACGGUGCUGAAGCAACAAAUGCCCUGCUUCCAGGAAAAGCCUCUAAGCAUCAGGUAACAUCAAAUCGUACCCCAAACCGACACAGGUGGUCAGGUAGAGAAUACCAAGGCGCUUGAGAGAACUCGGGUGAAGGAACUAGGCAAAAUGGUGCCGUAACUUCGGGAGAAGGCACGCUGAUAUGUAGGUGAAGCGACUUGCUCGUGGAGCUGAAAUCAGUCGAAGAUACCAGCUGGCUGCAACUGUUUAUUAAAAACACAGCACUGUGCAAACACGAAAGUGGACGUAUACGGUGUGACGCCUGCCCGGUGCCGGAA
rnacentral:rRNA from 1 species